rnacentral:misc_RNA from 1 species
GAAAUCUUUAGCAAAUUACACUUUCUUCCUCAUCUUGACCUUAUUCUGCAGCCAAACAUGUAUCAUUAACAUUCCAUCUGUAGCUGCAAUAACCUCAAUGAAGCCUGGUGAUGUACUCAAUCACUCACAGGUACUUGAUUCAGAAGGUGGAAGAUUCAAGUUGGGAUUUUUCUCUAUCCCACAAACAAAUAAAACUUAUCUUGGAAUAUGGUAUGCAGGUGAUCCAGUAGAGAAGAAAUUAUGGAUAGCCAAUCCAAAUACACCUAUAUUGAACAACUCAGGAUUGCUCACAUUAGAUUCUACAGGAGCAUUGAGAAUCACCAGUGGAGGAAAGACAGUUGUGAAUAUUGCCACUCCUUUAUUGACAGGAAGUUUAAUAGCUAGGCUUCAAGAUUCUGGAAAUUUUGUGGUUCAGGAUGAGACUCGGAACCGGACUUUAUGGCAAAGCUUUGAUCAUCCUACCAGUUGUCUUUUGCCUGGUAUGAAGCUUGGUUAUAACCUUACCACAAGGCAGAAUUGGACUUUAACUUCUUGGUUGGUUAGUAGUACAAUUCCGGCCUCAGGGGCGUUUACUUUAAGUUUGGAGGCAAUUCAAGAUGCAUUUCAGUUGGUUGUUAGUCGAAGGGGAGAGAUUUAUUGGACUAGUGGGGCUUGGAACGAUCAAGGUUUUCCAUACUUACCUUCAUUCCGUGAUUCUGCUACUACUUAUCAGUACAAUCUCAACUUGGUAUCCGGUACUGAUGGGAUGUUCUUCCAAUUUGAGGCUACAAAGGGAAGUUUCCCAAGUCUUGAGUUGUCUUCAGAUGGAGCUAUUGCUGCUGGAGACGGUAGUAUAUACACCCGUUAUAAUAAGUUCUGUUAUGGUUAUGGAGGUGAUGACGGUUGUGUCUCUAGUCAGUUGCCUGAGUGUCGAAAGGACAGUGAUAAAUUUGAGCAAAAGAGAGGAGACUUUAUAGAUUUAUCUGGUACUAGUACUAGUUAUUAUGACAAUGCAAGCAUUAGUCUUGGUGAUUGUAUGCAGAAGUGCUGGGAGCACUGCAGUUGUGUUGGAUUCACCAGUCUUAACAGCAAUGGGACAGGCUGCCGGAUUUGGAAUGGAAAGAGGGAUUUUCGAGUCGAUGAGAGUGGUAAUGCAGUUCAAAGAUAUGUUCUGGUUUCACCAAAAUCAUCUAAAGGAAAAACUUGGAUAUGGAUAGUAUUAUCUAUAGUUAUCACAAUGCUCAUAUGUGGUUUGGUCUGCUUAAUCAAAACAAGAAUACAAAAACUACAACAUGAGAAAAGAAAGAAGGAAGAGCAUAUACAUGAGAUGAACGCAGCAGACAGCUUCAGCAACACAAAUCUGAAAGAAGAAGAUGAAAGGGAAGUACAAGAUUUGAAGAUAUUUAGCUUUGGAUUGAUACUGGCAGCCACAAACAACUUCUCGAGUGAUAACAAGCUUGGAGAGGGUGGUUU